rnacentral:rRNA from 1 species
UGUCCCUACGGGAGGCAGCAGUGAGGAAUAUUGGUCAAUGGCCGGAAGGCUGAACCAGCCAAGCCGCGUGAAGGACGAAGGUGCCAAGCAUUGUAAACUUCUUUUGUCAAGGGACAAAAUCAGGCUCGAGAGCCUGACCGAGGGUACUUGAAGAAAAAGCAUCGGCUAACUCCGUGCCAGCAGCCGCGGUAAUACGGAGGAUGCGAGCGUUAUCCGGAUUUAUUGGGUUUAAAGGGUGCGUAGGCGGGCUGUUAAGUCAGCGGUAAAAUGUCGGGGCUCAACCCCGGCCGGCCGUUGAAACUGGU